CUCUUUGGACAUUUUCUUCUUGUAGUGAAUGGUUCCUUCCCUGCUCUUCCCUAUUCAUUCUCAAUCACCCCUUUUUCUCUUCUCUUUUGUCUCUCUCACUCUGCUCAAUUCAAAACAUCCUUUCCUUCUAAUCCAUCUGGAUAUUGGUUUCUUUGAGUGCAUAAUAUCAGCCUGAAGGUCUAAGUAAUUCAUUAUAUCUAAAGCCACACAGGAAAAGUCAGCAUGCGUUGGUUGGGUCUUUCUGUUGAUGUGUUCCGCCAAGUUAUACAGUUGAACUUAUAUUGUAAAGUUAUUCUGUAGAUCAUCAUUCCCAAAAAUCUGUGCUUAGCUACUGCCAUGGAAGCUAAUUGUUUGAUCGUUUCUUCUGAUAAGUAUAGAAUAGGCUAAAAGAUAGGAAGUGAAGGAACAUUCUGUAUUUUGUAUUUUGUAUUUUCAGUAUGUUCUCAUCUCUUGUUAUUCUAAAGUUCUAGCUGAUUCUGAUUGUGUUUAGGUUGGGUAUCUUCAUUUUGAUAUUCUAUUGGGCUUUUCUUCUCUUUGUACAAUAACAUUAGAUUGAUUGAGUAUUGUGGUGAGAAACAAAAGAAGUUAUGGUGUGCCAAGCAGCGAGCCAAACAAGAUUCCGAGCAUUAAAACAUGAGUAUGGCAUUAACGGUGAAGCAACAAUUAUUGUUAGAGUGAUAGCAUGCUUUCAACCUUUGCAUUUUUGUCAGGCUGAGUACUUCCGUCAUUUGCUUAAGCCUGUCACGUAGAUUAAGUCAUAUUUGUUUCUCUUUAAGCUGGAGCUUGUAGUUUCCCCUUUUUCCCUCUUUUUCCUUAGAAAAUCAGGAAGUUAGAAAAGAUCUCUUACAAGAGCAUCAUAACAUCUACUGGUCAUUUGUUUUGUUAGAUGGUUAAGGCUGACAGCUCCCUGCCUUGCUCACACCAUGUGGCUUGGCAAUCACCUUCUUUGAAUUACUUAAGCAUGCUGCCUAAGCCCGGCUCACUCGGUCUCCCAACAUAUCUGAACUCAAGCACUUCCAUCUUACCUCAUGGGCUUGUAGCUCCUUCUAUUCAAAGUCUGAAGACUCAGCUAACAAAUGAAGUGCAAGGAUACCUUAAGUAUCACAACGUAGACACAAGCCUGAAAGAAACGCAUCUUGGAGGAGCUUUACAAAAUGCAAAUCCUUCUUUGCAAAAGAGGUUACUUAUCUUUGACCGCUCUGAUAAUAAGACAAGGUUGUUUUAUGGGCAUGUUCCUCCUCUUGUCCAGAGUCCAAUUGUCACUGCUAAGAAGAUUGCUCAAAGUUAUGACGUAAAUGGGGAGGAACAGGCUAGAAUUAUGGGUCAAAAGCAUCUUGCCAGCUAUGGUUUACUGGAAGAGUCUGUUAAGGAUAAUGCAGUUAUUGAAGAAAGUGAAAAGCAUGAAGAUACGGAAGAAAUAAAUGCAUUGCUUUAUUCCGAUGAUGACAGCAGUGAAUAUGAUGAGGAUAAUUGUGAUGAGGUAACAAGUACAGAUCGUUCUCCUUUGGCAACUAAAAGGACUUAUGCGAUACAAGAACAAUGUGAGGACUUAAAGGAGGAAGUUGCCAGCUCUUAUUGGCCUAAGAAAAAGAUGAAGUUAAUUACUGGUGGCGACAAUAGGUCAUCCCCACGUGUGGACAAAACUACCGUGGUACAACCAAAUGAAACCUGUGAUUAUGUUAGUGAUGCUGAAUCAAAGAACUCUAGUGGUUGGACAUAUUCUGUUGAUAAAACUAAAGUAGAUGAUUCAGUGGUGUGUGAUAUCAAAUUAAAAAAGGAUAAGAUCCGGGAAUCUUUGAGAGUUCUGGAGAAUUUAAUUCCUGGUGCAAAAGGAAAGGAGCCAAUGUUAGUCAUUGAUGGAACUAUUGAGUACUUGAAAGUUUUGAUGUCCCAAACUGGUUCUCUUGGGGUAGAAUAUCACUAAGUAGUACUCACAGUCAAUCAGUGAGUCAAUCACAGCCACGAAGGUUAUAGUAUGUUGGUUGAAGGACACAUCCAUGGUGAAAAGAUGUAGUUCUUUGAUUUAUUAGCUUUGUUGGUUGAUAUGUUUAUCUUAGCAUGUUUGCAUUUUGUCUUGUUUAACCCUCUUUCUUGAGGAGGUGCACAUAUAUGGUUGGGAAAUAAAGGUACUGAUGUUGAAAUAGAUAGUAUUGCACUUUGGCACUUGGGUUGGAAAAGAGUGCAGGAUAUGGGGUUUCAAUUUGUUGACCAACAUGAUUAUCCUGUAGCUUUUUUUUGAGGAUUAAAGAUCACAGGUUGAAGUGAUGGAGAUGGUAGUGGGGGGCUUUGCUGUAAAUGAGGACACUUUUUUUUCUCUCAAGUGUUGCACUCUCUUGGUGAUUGAAUGCAUGCGCAUUAGGCAACUGGGGUCCCACUCUCCACCCUCCCUUUUCAUUCUUGGGUUCGUGCUUUUGUCCUCUCUUUCAAGGUUGCACGCAUAUCAUGCUGGCAUAUACUCUAAAGUAACAAGAAAGUUUCCUGAUGUUUGGCAGAGCGAGGCUAGUGUUUCAUCAUGAAUUGCUGGGGCCCUUUGUUUGGAUAUAUAGCAUUUUGUGGUAAAGGUUACUUUGUUUUACAUGUUGAUGGAGUGCGGAAUGAUGACAAGCAAUUCUAGUUUCUGCUUUGUGAUUCAUAUUGGUGGUCUAGGUCUCCUUUUGAGGAUGCUAUUAUGAAGCUGUCAGACGUGAUUGUAUGAAUAAUUGGAGUGUGAAUGGUUAUGGAAGUGUUGUAUGCAUCAGAGUGUAUCAUGGACAUAGUUAUCUGAUGUUGUUUUUAUGUUUGUAAAUAUCAUUUUCUGUC